ACAUGCGGAUUAACAGUUGUUUUGUAUAGGUGUUCCGUUUAAUUUCAGUGCUGGUGUUCCCAUUUUCGGUCUUUGUUGUUUUUCGAUAUCUUAGCGAAAAUGCAUACUAAUUUGUAGGUGUUGCUAUCAAAUUAUUAUUUUAAUUACAAUAGGUGGCGCAAUUCAAUUGUUAGCUCGCUGUGAUUAAACAAUAAACAUACAAUAAAGUCGAAUCCAUGAGCGCUCCGGUAAAAAGAAA
rnacentral:sRNA from 1 species